CGUGCACGGGUGAGUAACACGUGAGCAACCUGACCCUGUGCGGGGGAUAACCCGGGGAAACUCGGGCUAAUACCGCAUGGUCCUGUGGGUCGCAUGGCCUAUGGGGGAAAGGCGGCCUCUUAGCAAUGCUGCCGUGCAGGGAGGGGCUCGCGGCCUAUCAGCUAGUAUGGUGGGGUAACGGCCCACCAAGGCGACGACGGGUAGCGGGUCUGAGAGGAUGGCCCGCCACAUUGGGACUGAGACACGGCCCAGAUCUCCUACGGGAGGCAGCAGUGGGGAAUCUUGCGCAAUGGCCGAAAGGCUGACGCAGCGACGCCGCGUGCGGGAGGAAGCCCUUCGGGGUGUAAACCGCUGUCAG
rnacentral:rRNA from 1 species